UGGGGGAUAUUGCACAAUGGGCGCAAGCCUGAUGCAGCGACGCCGCGUGGGGGAUGAAGGCCUUCGGGUUGUAAACUUCUUUUGCUCUGAACAAGGCGCACCAUGGGGUGUGUUGAGUGUAGGGGUUGAUUAGCGCCGGCUAACUACGUGCCAGCAGCCGCGGUAAUACGUAGGGCGCGAGCGUUGUCCGGAAUUAUUGGGCGUAAAGGGCUUGUAGGUGGCUGGUUGCGUCUGUCGUGAAAGCUCAUGGCUUAACUGUGGGUUUGCGGUGGGUACGGGCUGGCUUGAGUGCAGUAGGGGAGGCUGGAAUUCCUGGUGUAGCGGUGGAAUGCGCAGAUAUCAGGAGGAAUACCGGUGGCGAAGGCGGGUCUCUGGGCUGUUACUGACACUGAGGAGCGAAAGCAUGGGGAGCGAACAGG
rnacentral:rRNA from 2 species